AUUUGAAAUCUGGCUCUUCCGGAGUCCGAGUUGUAAUUUGUAGAAGAUGCUUUGGGAGGUAGGGCCGGCCUAAGUUCCUUGGAACAGGACAUCAGAGAGGGUGAGAAUCCCGUAUGUGGCCGUGGCCUACGCCCGUGUAAAGCUCUUUCGACGAGUCGAGUUGUUUGGGAAUGCAGCUCAAAAUGGGUGGUAAAUUUCAUCUAAAGCUAAAUAUUGGCCAGAGACCGAUAGCGCACAAGUAGAGUGAUCGAAAGAUGAAAAGCACUUUGGAAAGAGAGUUAAACAGUACGUGAAAUUGUUGAAAGGGAAGCGCUUGCAACCAGACUUGGGCGUCGUCGAUCAUCCGGGGUUCUCCUCGGUGCACUCGACGAGGCACAGGCCAGCAUCGGUUUGGAUGGUUGGAGAAAGGCCCUAGGAACGUAGCUCUCUUCGGGGAGUGUUAUAGCCUAGAGCGCAAUGCAGCCCAUCCGGACCGAGGACCGCGCCUUUGGCUAGGAUGCUGGCGUAAUGGUUGCAAGCGACCCGUCUUGAAACACGG
rnacentral:rRNA from 1 species